CCGCGUUGACGGCAUUGAGUUUGACAUUUCAAAUUAGGGGGUGAAACGUAAACAAACGCAGUGAGAAAAACUAUAAUUUUUGUUCAAAGUUAUCUUGAGAUUCUAUAGCUUUCUGCAAAAAUGGCAUCCAAUGCGAUAAACUCUUCGAUGAUGACGGUAAAUUUGCAGCUUGCCGAUAUUUUUCAAUACGUCGGAGGAGGAAGCAGGUUGAUAGUCGAAGGUUCCCUUCAGUUCCAUUGCUUACAGUAACAGAUUUGCAACAAAAGUGGGGUAAAAUUGCAGAAAAAGUUGCUGACGAUAUGUACAAGACAACACCAUUGACCGCAUUCUGCAAAAAAAUGACGAAUACAAAAGAUACGACUGAAGCUGCCUCGCCGACGGGUUUGACUCACGAUGAGGGUACC